rnacentral:rRNA from 1 species
GAUAAACGCUGGCGGCGUGCCUAAUACAUGCAAGUCGAGCGAACAGACGAGGAGCUUGCUCCUCUGACGUUAGCGGCGGACGGGCGAGUAACACGUGGAUAACCUACCUAUAAGACUGGGAUAACUUCGGGAAACCGGAGCUAAUACCGGAUAAUAUAUUGAACCGCAUGGUUCAAUAGUGAAAGACGGUUUUGCUGUCACUUAUAGAUGGAUCCGCGCCGCAUUAGCUAGUUGGUAAGGUAACGGCUUACCAAGGCAACGAUGCGUAGCCGACCUGAGAGGGUGAUCGGCCACACUGGAACUGAGACACGGUCCAGACUCCUACGGGAGGCAGCAGUAGGGAAUCUUCCGCAAUGGGCGAAAGCCUGACCGAGCAACACCGCGUGAAUGAUGAAGGUCUUCGGAUCGUAAAACCCUGUUAUUAGGGAAGAACAAAUGUGUGAGUAACUAUGCACGUCUUGACGGUACCUAAUCAGAAAGCCACGGCUAACUACGUG